rnacentral:rRNA from 1 species
CGCCUGUUUAUCAAAAACAUCUUUUCUCGUUAGUUUUUGAAGUAUGGCCUGCCCACUGACUUUGAAUGUUGAAGGGCCGCGGUAUUUUGACCGUGCAAAGGUAGCAUAGUCAUUAGUUCUUUAAUUGUGAUCUGGUAUGAAUGGCUUGACGAGGCAUAAGCUGUCUUAAUUUUGAAUUGUUUAUUGAAUUUGGUCUUUGAGUUAAAAUUCUUAGAUGUUUUUAUGGGACGAGAAGACCCUAUAGAGUUUAACAUUUAUUACGGUCUUUUUCUGUUUGUGAGGGUUUGCGGGCUGUUUAAUGUGUUUUGUUGGGGUGAUGGGAGGGAUAUUAUUUAACCCCUCCUUUGUGUUGUUAUAUUUAUUUAUGUUUGCUUGAUCCAUUUAUUUUGAUUGUAAGAUUAAAUUACCUUAGGGAUAACAGCGUAA